GACGAACCGUGCGAACGUUGUUCGGAGUUACUGGGCGUAAAGGGUGCGUAGGCGGUUGUUUAAGUUUGGUGUGAAAUCUCCCGGCUCAACCGGGAGGGUGCGCCGAAUACUGAACGGCUAGAGUGCGGGAGAGGAGAGUGGAAUUCCUGGUGUAGCGGUGAAAUGCGUAGAUAUCAGGAGGAACACCGGUGGUGUAGACGGCUCUCUGGACCGUAACUGACGCUGAGGCACGAAAGCGUGGGUAGCAAACAGG
rnacentral:rRNA from 1 species